UCAGCCGAUACCGAGUCUCAACGUCACACGAACUCGGUUCGUUCUUUCCUGUACCACUAGUAUUUUUUUCGUGUUUCUGCGCCCCCCACAGCCUCCACACGCUUUCCCCCAAAUCGCCGCCGCCAUGGAGAAGGAGAAGAAGCUGUCCUUCUCCAUCCCUUCCAAGCUCAGGCCGCCCAAGCCGCCCCGCCCCGCCGCCGGCGCUGAUUCCUCCGCCGCCAGCGGCAACUCCGCUUCCGCGGCCGCUGCCCCCGCCCAGCAAUUCGUCACCGAGUUCGAUCCGUCGCAAACCCUAGCCGCCGGCGCCGCGUCCGCCGUCAUCGCGCCCCUCCCCAACUCCGGCCACUUCCUCAACCACCGCUCCCGCAAACCCUCCUCCCUCCCGACCCCCGAGGAGGAGGCCGCGCUUGCCGCCUCCACCGCCGGUGGCCCCACAUUCGUGCUCGACACCUCCGAGGCCCCCGACAACCCCUCCUCCCACAUAGGCUAUGGCCUCACCCGACGCGGCGCCGACGCCGACGCUGAGGCUGACGCCACGGAGCCGGGUAAGACGCAGUCUUCCAAGGAAUCAGAGAAGAAGUCGACCUCUCCAGCCAGAGAUGGCGGCUCCAGCGGUGACCUUAUGCUGCGACGGUACAAGGAAGACAUGGCCAGCCUCCCGGACCACCGUGGUAUAGACGAGUUUGAGGAGGUGCCUGUGGAGGGCUUCGGUGCUGCUCUCCUUGCUGGUUACGGCUGGUCGGAAGGCAAAGGGCUCGGCCGCAAUAACAAGGAAGAUACCAAGGUUGUUGAGUAUAACCGCCGUGCCGGUACGCUGGGAUUAGGCUACGACCCUUCUGAGGCAGAUCCUAAGAAGACUCGCUCCGGCGACUGGGUUAUUGGUGGAAAGAAGCCGACAGAGAAUGGUGGAAAGAAGUCCGCCGAGAAUGGAAAUGCAAAGAAGAGAGAUAGGGACAAGGAAGACAGAGUCCGGGAGAGGGAUUCAAGUUCCCGACAGAAGAGAUCUGGUGAUCUUAGGGCCGAGAGGGAGGUUCGAGAGAAAGAGAGAAAAUCUCGGGAUAGUCGAGAAGAAAAGAGUAGCCGCGAUGUUGGUAACAAAGUGCGCUGGUUACAGAGCAAUAUUAGGGUUAGAGUGGUUAAUGAGAGGUUCAGCAGAAGGUUGUACCUGCAGAAGGCAAAAAUUGUUGAUGUGGUUGGACCAACGACAUGUGACAUAAUGAUGGAUGAUGGGUCAGAGCUUGUGCAGGGGGUGGAGCAGGAUAUGCUUGAAACAGUCCUGCCACGGACAAACGGGCAAGUGCUUGUGCUCUGUGGGAAGCACAAGGGGGUGUAUGGGCAUCUGGUAGAGAAGAAUUCAGAGGCAGAGACUGCAGUAGUGGAGGAUGCCGAUACAAAAGACAUGGUGCGUGUGAAAUAUGAUCAGAUUGCAGAGUACGUUGGGGACCCAGAAUUGCUUGGGCAUUGAUUAUUUCUUCUUGAGGAGGGGACAUCUGUUUUCCAGGAGCUCUUCUAAUGUGCGGUGCGACAAACGAGCCAGAUGGUUGGGACUGGCACCAGGCGUAGGGGGCUUUGGUACAUGGACCAGGAGGUGCAGCCAGACUUGGUGUGUGCUGUGACCACGGAGGACAAGGAGAAGUAGGCGAUGAUCCAUCACUGUAGGAUGGGGCAUGUAUCUUUUGAUAAGAUGAGUAGAAUAUUUCCAGAUCUUAUGUGUGGAAUAGGCAAGGGCAAGUUGACAUGUGAUGCUUGCGAAUAUGCAAAACACACACGAGCCUCAUAUGUGAGUAAGGGGCUUAGGAGCAUAUCUCCUUUUAUGCUUAUUCAUUCGGAUGUAUGGACGAGCCCGGUAGUGUCAAUGAAUGGAAAGAAGUAUUUUGCUACCUUUAUUGACUGCUAUUCUCGUAUGACUUGGAUUUACUUGAUGCGUCACAAUGAUGAGGUGUUUAGCUGUUUUCAGAACUUCCAUGCUCUUGUAAAGAACCAGUUUCAGGUACAGGUCAAGGUGCUCAUGACUGACAAUGGCACAGAGUAUGUGAACAACAAUUUUGGGGCUUUCAUGGCUGACCAAGGGAUUCUUCAUCAAACUUCAUGCCCGGACACCCCACCUCAGAAUGGAGUGGCCGAAAGGAAAAAUCGUCAUAUUCUUGAGGUUGCUCGGUCGUUGAUGUUUACCAUGAAUGUGCCUAAAUUCUUAUGGGAUGAAGCAGUUAUGACAGCCACAUACCUGAUCAACCGGACACCUUCUAGGAUACUAGGUAUGAAAUCUCCAUCUGAGUUGCUCGUUGGAGAUAAUAAGUUUGUUGUUUCCCCCAAGCUGUUUGGCAGUACCUGCUUUGUUCGUGAUCAUCGACCAUCUGUUGGAAAGCUUGAUCCUCGAGCUGUGAAGUGUGUCUUUCUGGGAUACUCUUCUAGCCAGCAGGGGUAUAAAUGUUGGUGUCCCUCUGAAAAACGCAGAGCUUGACCACCUGCACCCUGUGCACGAUGGUAAGAGGGGGAGAAGGAUGCGUCUCGUACUCAUGAUGAUUCUGUGGGCAUUAACACUGAUAAUGAUGUGCAAGUUCAGGUCCAACCAAUUGUGGGUAGAAUUCCAGUUAGUACUCUCACCGAUGAUGAUGUGCAGGUUCAUGUCUAGCCAACUGUGGAUACACUUAAGUUUGGUGCUCUCCAGGUUCCUGUUCGGGAUCGAUGGCAGACGAAUACCCUGGUGUACUCUCGACGGCAACCACACGUGCAGGGGGAGCGGCAAGGCAGUGAGGCAAGAGUGCAGGGUGAGCAGCAAGGCAGUGAGGCAAGCUCAUCUAACACAGUGGAGCUGCCCAUUGUGUUGCGAAAGGCUACACGUGAAGCGGCAAGGAAGGGUGAAGUAGCAAGGAAGGCUCUACCAAAGGAUGAUGCUUGUGAUGACCUUGAUAUUGGAAAUUUUGUGUCUUAUAAGGCUUUGUCACCUUCAUAUAAGGCGUUUGUUGCCUCCCUUCAAACUGUGUCAAUCCCAAAGGAUUGGAAGGUUGCAAAGCAAGAUCCGAAGUGGCGUGAAGCGAUGAUAGAAGAGUUGGAAGCACUGAGAAAAAACAAGACGUGGGUGCUAACCACGUUGCCAGCAGAAAAGAAAGCAGUGAGUUGUAAGUGGAUCUAUACAGUGAAGCAGAAUCCUGAGGGGAAGGUGGAACGGUACAAGGCUAGAUUGGUCGCCAGAGGAUAUAGUCAAACUUAUGGAAUUGACUAUGAUGAAACAUUUGCUCCCGUGGCAAAGAUGAACACAGUAAGGAUAUUGGUCUCAUGUGCUGCAAACUUUGGGUGGAAGUUGCAUCAAUUAGAUGUCAAGAAUGCCUUCUUGCAUGGUGAGUUGCAGGAAGAAGUGUACAUGGAGAUACCACCAGGUUUUGGUACUUCAGAGACCACGGGGAAGGUAUGCAGGCUGAAGAAAUCCUUGUAUGGACUGAAGCAAUCACCAAGGGCAUGGUUUGAUAGGUUCAGACGUGCCAUCCGUGGUAUGGGGUAUGGUCAGUGUAACGGUGACCACACGAUGUUCUACAGGCACUCCGAUCGGAAGAUCACCAUCCUUGCUGUUUAUGUGGAUGACAUUAUCAUCACUGGAGAUGAUAAGGAGGAAUACAGAGAUUGAAGGGCUGUCUAAGCAAGGAGUUUGAGGUAAAGGAUUUGGGCAACUUGAAAUACUCCCUUGUCAUUGAAGUUGCUCGGACAGAGAAGGGAAUCUCUAUGUGCCAACGAAAAUACACCUUGGAUCUCUUGAGUGACAUGGGCAUGAUGGGGUGUCGUGCUGCCCCUACUCCGAUUGAACAAAAUCAUCAAGUGAUAGCACAAUCAGGAGAGCUAGUGAAUAAGGAAGAUUAUCAGAAAUUGGUUGGGAGGUUAUUGUACUUGUGUCAUACCAGGCCUGACAUUACAUAUGCCGUCGGGGUGGUGAGCAGAUACAUGCAUGAACCAAGGAGUGGGCAUCUUGAUAUUGUGCAGAGAAUCCUGAGAUACUUGAAGGGGACUCCGGGUAAAGGGUUGUGGUUUGGGAAGAGUGGACAUCUUGAGGUGGAUGGCUAUAGUGACUCUGACUGGGCCAGUUGUCAAGAUGAUAGAAGAUCCACUUCUGGCUACUGCGUGUUUGUGGGAGGAAAUUUGGUGUCUUGGAGAAGCAAGAAACAGCCGGUUGUGUCUAGAUCAACAGCAGAAGCUGAGUAUAGAGCAUUAUCUCAAAGGUUGUGUGAGAUGCUCUGGGUGAAGUACCUACUGAGUGAGUUGAAACUUCUGAGGAAGGGACCCUUGAAGGUGUGGUGUGACAAUCAGUCAGCUAUAGCCAUUGCUAAUAACCCAGUUCAACAUGAUAGGACAAAGCAUGUGGAAAUUGAUCGCUUCUUCAUUAAGGAGAAACUUGAUGCUGGGAUCAUCAGCCUUACUCAUGUCAGCUCUGGGCAGCAGUUUGCAGAUUGCUUGACAAAGGGACUGGGAACAAAGGACUGUAACUUGGCGUGUGACAAGAUGGGAAUGAUAGAUAUCUACCACCCAUCUUGAGGGGGAGUGUUGAACCGGUAUGGGCCCAAGCCCAUCUACUUAUCACUUAGGGCCCAAGCCCAUGUGGAGGUGGACCUAGAAAGGGGCAUCCAGCUCUCCCGUUCCCAGAAGAGCCGCCAUACACGAGAGAGACCUCACGCAGGACACAAGACACCAUGAGCUCUCCUGUCUGAAGGUUGAUGACUUUUCUCCUAUAGUGCCUACUGCUGAAGAUCACAAUGGAAAUACAGAGCACCUGACAAACAAGUUUCCAGACGACAGGCUUGGCGACCGAUAUUUACAGGUGCUCUGCUUUUAUGUAUGAUGUGACAUAUGAUGCCCUGUUUCCAGUUUGUGCAUAGCACUGUUUCAAUCAGUCUCAAUUCCAACACAAUUUACAUGCCAACCUAUUCUAUGUGAGGAGUCUUGAUCAUCUUCGGAGUGGUAGCUUUGUUCUUUGUGGUAUCAUCACUUUGUGCAUGCGAUGAUCUGAUGGCGGCUGUGGUUAGAGGUGUUGCGCAGUAUGCAAAUAUCACUUUGGUCUACCAGUCAAGAUGUGAGAUGACAUGGUUCACUGAUACUCAGGUUGAGAAACAAUUUUCUUUCCAGCAUGGUAGUUGGGAAAACAAACUGGACUCUGUAAAUCAGGGACAUGAUACACAUUUGCUUUGGUCCUAAGCUUCAGUGUGUAAAAAAUUACCAGUGUUGCAAAAUUGUAAACUCUUGUAUCGAUGUAUAACCGGAUGGUUAGCUGAAUGGAUAUCAAUUGAAGUCA